CGCUUGGAGUCAGUCGCGUCUUCUGGAACUCAGCCUUGCUUCUGCUUGGUGCACUUUCCAGUUUGACGGGUCAGCAUCGGUUUCGGUGGGCAGACAAAGGCGUGGGGAAGGUGGCCGCUCCGGCGGUGUUAUAGCCCCG
rnacentral:rRNA from 1 species